UCAUCAACAGCAAAUGUGAGAAAAGAAGAAUGGCGGGUUCUUCUCCUUCCGGUAGUUAGAGGGAGAGAGUUAGAGAGGGCGAAAAUGUUGAAGAAUUAUUGUUACAUGAUGAUGGGUUUUGUAGCUUGAAAGGCUUAAUUGGAAAUUUGGUUUUGGUGCACAACUAUACAAGAGUGAAUGUUGAGAGAGUAACCAUGAUUCUGCCAUUGUGAUAGACAUGGUAACCUAAUGAAUGUUGAGAGAAGUAGAAGAAAGGAACAUCACUCUUAGAUUUUUAUAAUAUUGAACUUAAUUCAUUCUUAUAAAACCGUUUUGUAAGAUGAUGAUUGCCUCUACUUUAUAAAUUCACACAUUAGGCCAUCUUACAUCUGAUGUAAUAUUUCUUAACAUACAACUCAUGCCCAACAUUAUUAGGCUUGCUGCAUGGAUAUAAGUGGUGAGUGGCUCAAUAGCAGAAACCUGAUAGCAGGUGGCCUAACAAAUUUUGGAGAGCCGCCUCAGAUACAUCUUAGAUUUUUAUCUUGAGAAACUAUGAUUGUUUGUGAAUAAUAGUAGAUACAUAAUUGACUUGAUUCAACAAGUGGGAGGAUUUUUGUCUUGGAAUUAUUGACAAAUUAAACAAUAAAAUAAAAAAUAAUGCAGAUAUCAUGUUCUGGGGCCAAGACACCGAUUUUAGUCUGAUCAUGGAAAACGUGGAGAUUAAGGAGGUGGUGAUAAUAGAUACUACAAUGAAGAAGAUGCUAUGGAGAAAAAUAUCAGAGAGUACAAUGUGAUGAUGGUGAUAGAGGAGGUGGUGGAGACUAUAGAUGGAGAUAGUGACACCAUUGGUAGUUGAGGUUAUGGUUAUAAUGUUAUAUGUAUAAUAGUUGCUCUAUUUAUGGUUUAAGAUAUAUAGUUUCAGUUAACCAUGUUUAACUAAAAAAUAUCCAAGUACUCAGUGUUUGUUUCAUAAAUUAUUAAGUGCAUAUUCAUAUUGUUGUCUGAAUUUUAAUUCACACUCGACGCAUGGGUUUUGUAGCUUGAAGGACUUAACACAAUUUGAGAUAAUUGGAAAUUUGGUUUUGGUGUAUAAGAGUGAAUGUUGAGAGAGUAGGCAUGAUUGUGCCAUCGUGAUAGACAUGGUAGCUUAAUGAAUGUUGAGAAAAGAGGAAUGGUACAGAAGAACAAGUCAACAACAUUAUAUAUUUGCUUUGAUAUUUUAAGUGUGAAUUGAAUUUCAUAUCGAAUGAAAAAGUAGAUGUUGAACAUUUUAUAACUUCAAGGUUCUUAAUAUCUUAAGGUUUUGGGUUAAUACGUGAGUCAAAUUCACUUAUAUGGUUGUUCAAUGUUUAAUUUGAUGAUCUCCGGAUUCCCUCAUGACCCAACAAGUUGUGUUGUGGAUAAGGUGCAGAAAUGUACAUAAUAAUUGAAUUGAUUCAACAAGUGGGAGGAUUUUGUCUUGGAAUUAUUGACAAAUUAAACAGUAAAGACAAAAAUAAUGCAGAAAUCAUAUCAUGAUCAUUGUUGGGCCAAAUAUUAGCAUAUGAAAUGUUAUUUGAUUUAUUAUGAUGAGUAUUUUCAAAACAUAAAUUUUUUAUAAUUUUUAAUAAUAAAUAAUUAAAUAUAUUAACGAUAAAAAUUGCACAUCGACAAACAUAAUAUGAUCAAACAUGUCAUUUAUUUUUGGCCAAAAAGAUUACUAUAAAUAACUCAAUUAUAUUUUCUAAAUAUUCAUAUAAGUAUAACCCCACACCAUGCCUCAUUUAUAAUUUACAUUAAUAUUUGAAUAAUAUAUAAUUCAAAUAUUAAUAUAAGAACGUGUUUUAGUUUGCCAACGUUGCUUUAUUAGAGAACUUGCAACAUAGCCAAAUAUCCAAAUAACUCUAACAAAGUAACUUUGAGAAAUGUGUAGGAACAGUGAAAAUGGACAGAUAAUGAUGCUAAAACGUAGAGCUGUCAAAAUGGACUAGUCUGAAUAGAACGGCCUGCUAAACUCGAUUUUUUUUUUUGGACUUGAGCCUUGGAAAUCUUAGCCCGUAUUGUUUUCGGUUUUUUAGCCCGGUCUGAUAAAGCCCAUUUAAAAUAUGGAUAGCCCGAAUGGGCCACGGGCAACCCGCAGCCCGAAUAAAUUAUAAUAAUAAUUUUUUCAAAAUAAAUACUAUAAGUAAUUUGUUUUUGUUUUGGAUGAUUUGAACUUAGUUUAUUACAAGAGUUUAUUUUACUGCUCUACGAGUGUCUCAAAUAUCAUCCGCUACUUAGGUAGCGGACGAUGUUUUUUUCCUCAAAUUUCUCAUUUUUACUACUUGAUUAGUGGAUGAGUAAACAUAGGACGUGCGAGAAACUCGUAGGUGACGGAUGAGUAAAAAUAGAGGGCGCGAGAAACUCGUAGGUAGCGGAAGAGUAAAAUUAGGAUGCGCGAGAAACUCAUAACUAGCGGAUGAAUAACAUUACAGCGCGUGAGAAACUCUUAGGUAAGGGAUGAGUAAAAAUAGGGUGCACAAGAAACUCAUAAGUAGCGGAUGAGUAAAAAUAGGGUGUGCGAGAAACUCAUAGGUAGCGGAUGAGUUAAAAUAGAGCGCACGAGAAACUCGUAAGUAUCAAAUGAGUAAAAAUAGGACGCAACAAGAAACUCAUAAGUAGCGGAUGAGUAAAAAUAAAGCGUGCAAAAAACUCGUAGGUAGCAGAUGAGUAAAAAUAGGACGCGCGAGAAAAUUGUAGGUAGCGGAUGAGUAAAAAUAAGGCGCGCGAGAAUUUUUUAUCCUAUAUAAUAUAUGUAUAAUAUAAGACUAAUGAUUAACAUAGCGUAGUAGUCACUGCAUUUGCUUGGAAGAUGUUACAUAAUUGGCAAAUGUUUGAUAUAUUGAGUGGCUGUGUUUCUAACAAGAAAGUUUAUAAAAGGUUUGUGGUUGGUUUGGCUUGCCGUCGUGUGGUCUAAGUGGAAGACGCUGCUUUGAUUAUUGAAGAAAUUAAAUUGUUGUCGUGGAGAUGUGGGACGGGUAUCGAUCACAUAUCUCAGUGUUCGUUUUACAGAUGGAGUUGAGAGCCAUCUUUGUGCUUGUUGCUGUGAACUGGUGUUGCUGUUUCUGUAGCAGUUUUUUUUUGGUUAGCUUUCUGGGGUUUUUGUUAUAAUGAAAGAAUCAUAUAUAAACCAUUUUAUUCCCAUUAAAAAAAUACCAUUCGUUACAAAGUUUCAACAAAAUAAAGAGGUUAGUAGCAAUAAAACACUUCCAAGGUUCUGGGUUCGUUGAGGACUUAGGCAUGUAAUAUGAUAAAGAGAGUUUGUCGUCCAUUUAAUUCUCACAAGAUUUGAGAAAUUAGUCUAUAUAGUUACGUGCAGAAGAUAUCUGAUUUACGAAGAAAAAAAAUGUCUUAUAGCACAAAAAAAAGUUAGUAAUACAAAACACAAUUAUCAAUCAAAUCAACAAUGAACAUUAAAAUUCUUUGAGUUGGAAUCAUAACAUAAUCAUUUUCAUGUGAACAUAAGUUAAUAGUACCAAUUAAAUAUGCAAAUCUAAUAUGAAAUCAAACUGCCAAAAAGGAACAUUCAAAAUAUUGAAAUUGUAUAUUCAGCCAUUAAAAAUUAAGAAAGAAAUCAGGUAACACUCACUUUGAAAGUUGAAAAUUUCCUGCACUCAUUACUUUUUAGUGGCGAAACCGUUCAUCCUUUAACGAAUAAACAAACAAUUCGGUUCCGUUCAAGCUCUGCAAUAUAAAAAAGCAAUCGUACAUAAGAGUCUAUUUAAAUUCACUUAUUUUUGAGCUUAUAAAAAAUAAGCUAUGCAAGUAAAUAAGUUUUUAUAUCAAUUCACAAGUUCUCACUAACUAAAAUUGAAUUUUCAUAAGUUGUUUUUUAAACUAUAUUUCAAGCUUGCGAAAAUGAAGCUGUAAGAAAUCAGUUGUGACUUACCUGACCGUUAAAAGCAGCAAUGACAUUAUUCAUAUCAGUCUCAUUGGCCAUUAUAAGAUAGCCAGCUGAUGAAUAUUCAUUGAACUGUUGGUCAUGGACUAUCUCAACACUCUCAACCUUACCAUGUUUACUGAAAAUUUCCUCCAACUGACCAUUGUCAAUAUCCCUCGGCAAGUUUGAAAUGCAGAUACCAAAAGGGGAAUCAUAGGCACGAGGCAUAGGCACGGAGAUAUUCAAAUUUUCAUUUGGAUCCUCCUCGAUAUUCCCAAAUUCAUCAACAGCAAAUGUGAGAAAAGAAGAAUGCCGAGUUCUUUUCCUUCCGGUAGUUAGAGGGAGAGAGGUCGAAAACGUUAAAAAAUUAUUGUUACAUGAUGAUGAUGGGUUUUGUAGCUUGAAGGGCUUAACAGAAUUUGAGUUUGAGAUAAUUGGAAAUUUGGUUUUGGUGUACAAGAGUGAAUGUUGAG
rnacentral:lncRNA from 1 species